GAUGAAGAACGUAGCGAAAUGCGAUAAGUAAUGUGAAUUGCAGAAUUCAGUGAAUCAUCGAAUCUUUGAACGCACAUUGCGCCCGCUAGUAUUCUGGCGGGCAUGCCUGUCCGAGCGUCAUUUCAACCCUCAAGCCCCCGGGCUUGGUGUUGGGGAUCGGCGAGCCUCCGCGCCCGCCGUCCCCUAAAUCUAGUGGCGGUCUCGCUGUAGCUUCCUCUGCGUAGUAGCACACCUCGCACUGGGAAACAGCGCGGCCACGCCGUUAAACCCCCAACUUCUGAACGUUUGACCUCGGAUCAGGUAGGAAUGCCCGCUGAACUUAAGCAUAUCAAUAAGCGGAGGA
rnacentral:misc_RNA from 1 species